rnacentral:rRNA from 1 species
UACCAGCACCCCGAGUGGUCGGGACGUUUUAUUGGGCCUAAAGCAUCCGUAGCCGGUUUUACAAGUCCUCCGUUAAAUCCAGCUGCUUAACAGAUGGGCUGCGGAGGAUACUAUAAGACUAGGAGGCAGGAGAGGCAAGCGGUACUCAGUGGGUAGGGGUAAAAAUCCGUUGAUCCAUUGAAGACCACCAGUGGCGAAGGCGGCUUGCCAGAAUGCGCUCGACGUGAGGGAUGAAAGCUGGGGGAGCAACGG